rnacentral:rRNA from 1 species
UUCGCCCUUAGAGUUUGAUCCUGGCUCAGAGCGAACGCUGGCGGCAGGCUUAACACAUGCAAGUCGAGCGGGCGUAGCAAUACGUCAGCGGCAGACGGGUGAGUAACGCGUGGGAACGUACCUUUUGGUUCGGAACAACACAGGGAAACUUGUGCUAAUACCGGAUAAGCCCUUACGGGGAAAGAUUUAUCGCCGAAAGAUCGGCCCGCGUCUGAUUAGCUAGUUGGUGAGGUAACGGCUCACCAAGGCGACGAUCAGUAGCUGGUCUGAGAGGAUGAUCAGCCACAUUGGGACUGAGACACGGCCCAAACUCCUACGGGAGGCAGCAGUGGGGAAUAUUGGACAAUGGGGGCAACCCUGAUCCAGCCAUGCCGCGUGAGUGAUGAAGGCCCUAGGGUUGUAAAGCUCUUUUGUGCGGGAAGAUAAUGACGGUACCGCAAGAAUAAGCCCCGGCUAACUUCGUGCCAGCAGCCGCGGUAAUACGAAGGGGGCUAGCGUUGCUCGGAAUCACUGGGCGUAAAGGGUGCGUAGGCGGAUCUUUAAGUCAGAGGUGAAAGCCUGGAGCUCAACUCCAGAACUGCCUUUGAUACUGGGGAUCUUGAGUUCGGGAGAGGUGAGUGGAACUGCGAGUGUAGAGGUGAAAUUCGUAGAUAUUCGCAAGAACACCAGUGGCGAAGGCGGCUCACUGGCCCGAUACUGACGCUGAGGCACGAAAGCGUGGGGAGCAAACAGGAAUAGAUACCCUGGUAGUCCACGCCGUAAACGAU